rnacentral:tRNA from 1 species
AGGGCUAUAGCUCAGUUAGGUAGAGCAACUCGUUUACACCGAGAARGUCUA